AGAGUUUGAUCAUGGCUCAGAGCGAACGCUGGCGGCAGGCUUAACACAUGCAAGUCGAGCGGGCGUAGCAAUACGUCAGCGGCAGACGGGUGAGUAACGCGUGGGAACAUACCUUUUGGUUCGGAACAACAUAGGGAAACUUGUGCUAAUACCGGAUAAGCCCUUACGGGGAAAGAUUUAUCGCCGAAAGAUUGGCCCGCGUCUGAUUAGCUAGUUGGUGAGGUAACGGCUCACCAAGGCGACGAUCAGUAGCUGGUCUGAGAGGAUGAUCAGCCACAUUGGGACUGAGACACGGCCCAAACUCCUACGGGAGGCAGCAGUGGGGAAUAUUGGACAAUGGGCGCAAGCCUGAUCCAGCCAUGCCGCGUGAGUGAUGAAGGCCCUAGGGUUGUAAAGCUCUUUUGUGCGGGAAGAUAAUGACGGUACCGCAAGAAUGAGCCCCGGCUAACUUCGUGCCAGCAGCCGCGGUAAUAC
rnacentral:rRNA from 1 species